rnacentral:lncRNA from 1 species
GAAAAAUUAGAUGUAUUAUACUUCAUCUACACUAGAUUUAGAACUAAUGGUUGCAUUACUAAUUUUAAAAGAAAGUUCCAAAUUUCUAAUUAUUCUCUUCCUUUGAUUGCAUUAUCUCAAUGGUAUUAUGGCUUGUAUUUGGUUACUAUUAUUUAUUGCAGCUAUAACAUUGAUUGUCAUUGGCAUUAUUGUAGACAGAAUAUUGUAGUCGCUUAGUGUUGUAUGAAGAGUGAAUUG